AUUUCGCGACGUAUCCUCCGGAGCCCCAGCACUCUUCUCUCUAUUGGGAUUAGGGGUUUAGGAAGGACAGGGCGCUGCGGUGGUCUAGGGGGUGUUAGGGGUGGUAUUAGCCUUCGGGGCAGCACUACCCGCUGCGGCGGUUGCGGAGGGCAGCCGCAGCCGACCGGAGUUAAGAGGAAAGGGCCUUUGGCGCGGAGUGGCUGUCGUCCUUGCUCUGGUGCCGGUGUCGGCUUAGGUUCCUACCGAAGUGGUACCGCCAGAGGAAGACCUACCGGCUGGGUGGUGUUAACAGGUAGAAGAGGUAGGUGACGACGUCUGGGGGAGUAAAAGUUCUGCCCGGCAUGACGUUAAAGUUUCUAAACGGUGUGCACCAGCCGCAGCCGCGCCGCCCGGCAAAGCAAGAGUAGGCGCGGCAGAAGCUGGCGGCGCGGUGUAGGCUUAUAAAGGAAAUGUUCCGGCCACUCAGUGGUAACGAGCUGGGCUAAGAAGGAGGGAUGCUAAUAGCACUACCGCUGGCGCUACUAGACGCCCCCCAGUCCCUCAAGCCGCAGGACGUCGAGCCGUCGGUCAUAGAGCACCGGCGAGAGACGGAGCUGGGCAACAGCCUACUGAUAAUGGAAGCCUAGAUGAGCAGGCUCUCUUUUAGUACCUCGUGGUCCUGGGACGGGUUAGGUACAGGACCCCAGCUGUCCUAAUACGGGCUGUUCCACUAGUGAGAACCUCUUCUUCCGGAUGAUCCCACCCAACUAAACAGUGUCCCGGACGACUACACGCUGGACGCAGUUCUAGUCUCUCUUCGUUUUUUGAUCUCCCGCUUAGAGUGGGUUUAGAGACCACCAAAGCCCUAGAGAGUACCCAACUACCGCACGAGUUCAAAUAACUCUACCUCUUAGAACAAGGACUUUCGGCCUCGCUGUUCCCACUACAAUAGAUGCUAAGUCUGAACUAGUACAGCGAGCUCGCGUUUCGGCACCUAACCGUAACGUUCGUCGGCAGGAAACCCCCACGGACCUCCCGACAGUGUACCUGAGCCUGUCAAAGCAGGUUGACAACCGCGGUCUGUACGCGACAGUUACAGCGACUGUAGAACCAACAACUGCCUAGUCGCGUAAGUAGAAACAACGGGCCCGAUUUCCCUCUUUUCAACUGUAAGUACCUGGAGAUGAGUCGAAAGGGGUAGGACUCGGGCCUACCACUGCUAUAAGAAAUAGAGUUUAGAUACCACCUUGGGUCAUUGUUCCUACCUACACACCGGCGACAACUGAAUGCUUUGUUCCGACACUUUCGUCAACCGUUCAUAAUAGAAGGCCUACUAAAAAUAAUGGUGAAAGCGAUACUGGGACUUGUAGGAAAGGCACAGACACGUAACAGGGCGGUAGACCUAUACUGAGGUCCGUAACUUCAGUGUCGCACAGCGUUCUAGUGUCCCCUACGAUCGUCGAGAAGUUUAAAAGGUUCUUUGUGGAGUACUCGAGUUAAGGACGCUUGGUUCCUCGUUUUAGGUUUCCGGUAACCUUAACCGAGUCUUUUUGUUCGCACGUGCUUUACGACGACCCUAAUAAUACGUCUUACUAGUAUAAAGGUUCGAACUGCUAUUCCACGACCUCGAUCUCGCCCUCGAUCUCGUCUUCUUUCUCGUCUUCGGUGUUGUCGUCACGAAGUUUUUCACCCUACGCCGUUCGAUAGGGGGACCCGUAAGUAACACCGGGGUUUUGUUAGACGGUCACGCCGUUAUGAAGUCGUUCGGUGGUGGUAGCAAGCGGGGAGAUGUACCAGCAGUGUUGAUGGUCCGUGACACCGUCGUCGGUGGUGGUAGUUUUGUCGUCAAGUGAAUAUUGUCACUCAAACUUGGAGUACUCCGUGGGGACGGUAGGAAGUUGUUAACGUCACCUCGGCCGAUGGUAACCAUAAGUGUCGUUAAAAGACGGGGAUUGAGUAAACUGAUACCGCGUGUGUGUCCGAUACCGUUGAUGGUUGUGGUCACCCUCGUCGAAGGGUCAUGAGACCUCGACGGAUAACGUAGAACCGUCGUAGGUGGAGGAGGCAACGUAACACUAGGUUGUGGAUCACUCCCCUGUAGAAGGAAUGAUGGCAACCCUCUACGUACUACAGAGAAAGGUUAUCAGUUCCGUUCCACUUCUUCAAAGUACUGGACCGAUCGUAGAUGUCGUCUAGAAUUGUCAUCGGUUCGACGACUAGCUUCUUCUCCGGACUACUGCUGCGGUGACCUCGGCAAUUAUAUAUACAUAAAUACAUCAUAAACAGAGGGAGGCAGGCAUUUUCUAACAGGGACAUCCUACCAGAGGGAGGCAAGAUGUUUCUACUCGUUCUGGUAGGAUGGAAGGUCACACCACACACAUGCCCGAAUUAUGACCUGACGGAAUAAUAUCAUUGGAUGGAUCGACAACUUAACCUAGCCACUACAAAUAGAAGUUCAAAUCCGUAGCGAUAGACCGCUGCGAGUCCG
rnacentral:rRNA from 1 species